UACGGGGGGGGCAAGCGUUGUUCGGAAUUACUGGGCGUAAAGGGCUCGUAGGCGGCCAUCUAAGUCGGACGUGAAAUCCCUCGGCUUAACCGGGGAACUGCGUCCGAUACUGGAGGGCUCGAGUGUGGGAGAGGGAUGCGGAAUUCCAGGUGUAGCGGUGAAAUGCGUAGAUAUCGGGAAGAACACCCGUGGCGAAGGCGGUUCUCUGGGACGGUACUGACGCUGAGACGCGAAAGCGUGGGGAGCGAACAGG
rnacentral:rRNA from 1 species